AGAAUAUCACAUCUCUAUUAUAAGGAUGUACAAGAAAUUUACAUAAAAUUACAAAAUAUUAAAAAAAAAUUUACAUUGUUCAGGGGCAGUUGAACUGGCAACCGCCCUGCCUCUCACCCAUGUCCAUCUUGGACAUAUUUUGUGUUAUCCUGUGCUUUUAGCCGAGUAUCAUGACUGCUACUUUGAAUGGACGGCUGGGGUAAUGGUGCCUUUACCGUCGGAGGAGAGGCAAGAAGCAACAUUCCUGAAAGUUCAUGGCCAAAAAAAAUAUAAAGUUCAAAUUGCAUCUUAUACUUUGUUUUUCACACUAUAUGUAAGACCCACAAAAUUUUGUUGCAUAGUUACACGUUAUGCAAAGUGAGUCAUACCGUGUGUAAAAUAAAUUCCAUCUUGAGCAUUUUGCACAAAAUUGGCCCGAACAAUUUUCCUGACAACCAUUCGGACCCUGUGUCCCUUUACGGUCUGCUGGGAAAGGUGGUAGAGAGUAAGAAACAAGAUGGAUAGACUCUUGCCAAAGCUCGUCAUGUCUCUCUCAAUCUUACCAGAGGUUUGCUAUCCAAAAGCGUUGGAGCAGAAUAAAUCAAUCCCUUUUCUGCAGAUUAUUGGAGUUGGCAUCAUACAAUUUCUAGUCGAUGUUAAAAUAAAU
rnacentral:lncRNA from 1 species